rnacentral:lncRNA from 1 species
UGUGGGGGAGAAAAAAGCCUUGCAAAUCUGACUUUCAGGAGUUUGGAAACUGGCCAGCUUCAUCAGAAAUGAACAAAAAAAGUGAAAAGCUCAGAUAGUUUCAUAUGGAAAAAAACAAAUUCUGGUGAACUGCACACUUGCGUGAAGGCCUGUGCAAAUAUUGAAAGUAUUUGGGAGCCAAAUAUCCCUCACAGACAUACUGCAUGUGGUUAAUGUGGGGGUUGGCAUCGCCUCCCCAUCCCGAGCUCCUCCUAUCACAUGUGAACAAGCGCCGGGGCUCCCGAUGUUGGCGAUUUGAUGACUGAAGCCACCCAUAAAGUCAGAGAGAGAGAAAACAGAAGUAACUGGAAUCAGCGGCGACAAGACGAACAGACUUCUCCCGAAAAACUGUGUCGAGGGAGGGCAGAGGAUUUAGAAAACAUGUCAUCUUGAGCUCCGUUCCAAAUCGUGAUAUGCACCAUUGUGAUAAAAAGAGAUACCUACUCUAACAAAAUGAUAAGCCUUCACAGUGACACUGUGCUGGUUUGCGUCCAUCGUUCUUCCUUUCCUCUGAGCCCAGCGAAGCUGAGCAUGAAAGUGACUUCCUCCAUGAUCUCCGCAGCCCGGAGCGCUGGUUCAAUCCCUCCACGGCCGUGAUGGGUCACGACACGCUUCCUCCUGGAAACCCAUGAGCUGGCCUGCAACUGGACAAAAGCUGAAAUGACCUAAAUCCUCAGUGAAUUAAUAUGAAAACCAUCUGAUAAGUGUCUACUGACACUCUCUGCUGCUGCCUCGGUGCUGACACACAGACGUUGGAUGAACUUGUUUCUACACCGACGUAAAGUACCUCACACAGGUACUGACGAUGCAGCGGCGUGAACAUGGCUACAGAAAAGGAAGUGGACGAGAAGAAGAAGCUGAAGAAAAGAUGUCUUAAGUUACUCAAACUGUCAAAUUUUCUUUCUUUAUGAUUUUGUGAAAAAGCUAAAUCAGAUAAUUUUCACUGAAAAUAUUGUAAGUUCUGUUUAGCUCAAAGCAAACCUUAAUGCUUUUCUAUAUCUUUCUCACAGAUACUGUAUCACUUCCUGUAUGUGUCAUAUGAUAUACUGAUAGUUGUAAAGCUACAUGUAAUACAGGAUAUAACCUUUGAGUUUGGGUUCAGUAGUUUUUCUAGAAUAGCAGUUGUUUACAUUCCACACAUGUCAUAGAUGACAAAACGAGGCAAUGAGGAAAAAUGCAAACAAAUGAAAC